GUGUCAGCCGCCGCGGUAAUACGUAGGUGGCAAGCGUUGUCCGGAAUUACUGGGCGUAAAGGGCGUGUAGGCGGCUUUUUAAGUCAGACGUGAAAUCUCUGGGCUUAACCCAGAAAUUGCGUUUGAAACUGGAAGGCUUGAGGAUCGGAGAGGGUAGUGGAAUUCCCAGUGUAGCGGUGAAAUGCGUAGAUAUUGGGAGGAACACCAGUGGCGAAGGCGACUGCCUGGACGACACCUGACGCUGAGGCGCGAAAGCCAGGGGAGCAAACGGGAUUAGAAACCCGCGUAGUCC
rnacentral:rRNA from 1 species